rnacentral:lncRNA from 1 species
CACUUUUCCACUUGAAACAUACAUCCUAUGAUUUAUCUUUCAGUUAAAACAUAUGCAUACAAUAUAUGGUACAAACAAAGCAUUCAUUCCCUAACAUUUAACCUAAACCACAGAUCAAAACUUUCAAUUCAAGAGCAUAACACAAACUUGUAGCUGUUCACUGAUUUGAAACAAAGAAAGUUUUGAAAAUUUUACAAAGGACACCCUAGAACUUUCUAAAACAUAACAAUCAAGUCCCUAGUCCGGGAAAACAGGUAACAGAAUGUUAACGAUGAUAUCCCGGCAAAGGAAUCGCCGGCAUUAAGAAGAUUCAGAGAAUCAGGGCAAACCUUGGGGUAGCCUUGGUUAUGAAGAAGAAUACGCGGAAAGUAAAUUCCCGCGGUGAACAAGAUCGGCGAAGAGAAAAGCCCGACGAUGAUGAGACUCCGUGAAUGACGAAGAAGUUUGUCGGGAAGGGUUGCCGUGGGUGGAAGAUGGCCUGUUGUCUUGUAUAUGUACGCGCUUGCUGACUCGAGUCGAGCC